rnacentral:rRNA from 1 species
CCUUGUACACACCGCCCGUCACACCACGAAAGUGGAUUGUACCCGAAGUCGCCAAGCUAACCCUUUGGGAAGCAGGUGCCCAAGGUAUGGUUCAUGAUUGGGGUG